rnacentral:misc_RNA from 1 species
GGGACAGUGGGACGGUGGGACGAUGGGACAAUGGGACAGUGGGACGGAGCUGACGUUCCAUGGAGUAUGCGCAAGAUGGACGGUGGUCCGCCAUCAGGGGUUGAGUGGUGCGGAGUCCGUCAUUCGCACCAUUCCACUUCCACUGCACAUGUCCAAUGCGACGUUGCAACCGCCUGGCUCCGCAACAACACGUGCAACGCAGGAGAGUGCACUUCUGACGGGCCUUUCAGCAUAUUGGCAAGGGUGGCUGGUCUUCCCCACCGAUCAUCCCUAAACCGACUGGGGGUUGGGUGUAGAAACGUGGGGCAACGGGCAGAGUUGCGGUACGAGCGAGCGCCCGACGAACGGACCGGCGCGGAGCCAACCACGGCCACGGCAACCGACGUAGUCCACCCACGUGACCCCAAGGCGUAUAGCGACGGCUCCACUAUCUCCGGCUCCACAAUCUCCCGAUACUAAACCUUAACAAAGUUGGAACUAAAUCGUGCUGAAAUUGUUAAGGUUGUGGGGAGAGCGAAUGGGAGAUAAAAAGACGGACAUUUGGUGACGUUUGGCAGGCGGGGUUGAGAAAGGCGGGUUCCGGGGCCAUUGAAGACGGCGAUAAGCUAGCAGUGGAGCAGCAAACGUCUUUCCCAAACCCCUCGUUGGCCACAGUUAGCGUAUGUAUGGUGAGACAUGCCCAGGGCUACACGAAGCUUGAGAGAUGACUUGAGGCCGGAGGAGCACUGCCAGGGCCCGGGAGUUUGUUUGCAAGGUGACUCGGCGGAGUCACCGAUCACUUUUUGGCGACUGUUGAUGCAUGGUGGACUCCCAUAUAGUGUUCACUUUGGUCAUGCCAGGUACAGGCACAACGUACAAAAGAGGCUCUCAGGGUUGACAGCCAAUUUAAAUGCAUGAUCCACGUUGGGUUCUCGAGUGUCACGACUCCAGGGCUCGUUUCAACCGUCAUUAGUGCACUUGUGCAGUACUGUACAGUGCGUAGUCAGACUGUAUCUCUACUGUGGAGCCAGACCUACGAGUGUGUUGUAUUAGGUAAGGGUGGCAUCGGAGUCAAGAGCAGAAAGACGAAUACAGCGUUAGUUUAGAUGGUCGAUUCAAGUAGCUAGUGGUGAACUGCCGAUUCGAAGUACAGUACUCGAAGUAUCUUCACAAUCUUCUUCUGGUGUCACGUA